CUAAACGGUGUUAAUUUGUGGAUUUCUGUAGGCUUUGAAAAGCAAAAUUAAGACUCUAUGGGAUUUUGGAUGUGUAACAUAAACUGUGGGCAACGUGCUUCGCUUGUAUAAAUCAGCAUCAUUACAUUGAAGCCAGAAGAUCUCUGCUGUGCUCCAGCUGAGAAAGUGGCCUACGACUCUGAACACAAGGGGAUGUGCUGGAAGGCAGUCCUGGUCCAGCAAGGUACAUCAAUGGGAAAGCAAGCCUCUGCUGAGGAUUUCACUAGGAGUGAAAUCCUGGUUCACUGAAGGCCAUGGGAAAGAGACUUCACCCUAAGCAUCAAGAAACGGACGUCUUCCCAAAGUUAAUUUUGACCUCUGGAAUUCAGCAGAGAAAUAAAGCACAAAAUAAAGCUGCAUUGGUUAAAAGAAACUAUUGCAACAUAAGUCGAAAAGCCAAAACUGAAGGGCAGAGGUGGCAGGGAAGAAGGCAUACUGCAUAAUUUCUGAUGGCAAUAUUCAUAGCAUCUCACAGUAAGUACAUUCAAAUUCAUUUCUAGGAACUAAUAGUUGCUUCUUUUGGAUU
rnacentral:lncRNA from 1 species